GUUCCAGCAAGUUGUAUUCGUACCAGAAUGUUGCGUUGUGUGGUGUUUGCUUUACUCGUCGCAGUCACCUUACCAGGUGUACCGACGGCACAGGCCAUCUGCACAGCAUCCAUAUCCGACGAUCGUGUUGCUGCCUGUGCCUUCAACCCAUUGCUACUGCUUGUGGAACGUUCCGGUUGGGUACUGUCCCGGCAGAACUGUGGUGAAACGGUCGGUGCGGAAGCGUUCGAUGUGCCACCGAUCAUAUACUUCGAUUACACCGAACCAAAGCAUCUCUAUACCGUGGUGUUUGUGGCCGAGCGUCUCCAUCAGACUCGCUCCACCGAUGCCUCCACCGAACGAUCGUUCUAUUUGCAGUGGCUGGUUGUGAAUGUUCCCGAAUCAUCUCUCGCAAACGGAAUGAGAUACAUGGAUGGUGACACAAUCGUUGAUUAUCUAUCACCCGAGCCACGAUCUGCCGAUGAUGAUGAUGAUGAUGAUGGGCAGCCGACACGCUACGGAUUCUAUCUGUACGAACAGGUUUACGGUACGAUCUAUCCACCGACACCGAGCACCAGGGAGUACUUCAGUUUGGAUGGCUGGAUCGGCACAAUCUAUCCCGUGGCCUCCCUCUGCGGUCCAGUUGCAUCGAUCGGAUUCGGGGUUUAGUAGCGCGGUGGCCCUUCGGCAGUCCGGAUAAAUUGUCCCACCAUAUCGACGGUAAAUAUCUUACCUCCUUCUCCAGCGACGCUACGAUAUUGACGAUCGUAUUUGUAGGUGCAGUGCAGUAAGAAUUGUGAUCGGCUGCAUGAAGCCAUGAAGGUUUCGUUUGUUUUUAUUUACUACCACGGGAGAAAGAAAUGGUACAAUUUAUACGUGCUGCGGCAGCAUAAUUUAGCUGCAAGUAGUACCCUGGCGACGCAACCGACGACAUGUACACGUGUACACGAUACACCGCCUGGACGCAGCUAGCAGUAAAUAAAGGACCAGCAUUUCUUCAACCCCUGCAGCUGGUUAACAUUCAAAAACACUGCUCCAAAAUCUUCGCUCUACAAACGGAAGAUGUAGUUCAGAUUCCGUUUUUGUGUAGGUCUUGGUCACAGUGUGUGUGUGUGUGUCCGUCCAUUUUGUUUCAAAAUGUAUCCUACCGAAGUCUUCGUCCCCAGUGCCUCGGGCAAGGGAAAGAAACUGACCGACCAAUGUUUUUGUCGUCACCCUUCUGGUCUUUAUCGCAAACUACGUGCCCCUCAAUGUGUUCAUCAGAUAUCUGGAGCUGCAAACAGGAAAAUAAAAUAACAAAA